AGGGGUAUCGCCAAGCGGUAAGGCACUGGAUUCUGAUUCCAGUAUGCGUAGGUUCGAAUCCUACUACCCCUGCCA
rnacentral:tRNA from 1 species